GAUGAACGCUGACAGAAUGCUUAACACAUGCAAGUCUUUGGCGAAGCUGUGCUUGCACAGCCUAGCCAAGGCGGACGGGUGAGUAACGCGUAAGGAACUUGCCCUGCAGUCAGGGAUAACAGACGGAAACGACUGAUAAGACCUGGUAAAGUCAGGCGGACUCAUGUCCAGCCUGAUGAAAAGAGAUGCUGCAGGAGAGCCUUGCGUCCUAUUAGCUUGUUGGUGGGGUAACGGCCCACCAAGGCGAUGAUAGGUAGCCGGCCUGAGAGGGUGGACGGCCACAAGGGGACUGAGAUACGGCCCUUACUCCUACGGGAGGAAGCAGUGGGGAAUAUUGGACAAAGGGGGCAACCCUGAUCCAGCAAUUCUGUGUGCAAGAUGAAGGUUUUCGGAUUGUAAAGUGCUUUCAGCAGGGAAGAAAAAAAUGACGGUACCUGCAGAAGAAGCGACGGCUAAAUACGUG
rnacentral:rRNA from 1 species